CCGAAUCCUCUCGCACAAUUGGUUGUACUUAACCUAUACUUUGGCCUUUUCAUCGAUGAUCCUAUGACCUCGAACAAACCCAGGUUGUCCUAACCUAUUAUGAUCAUCUUCCAACCAGCUUGGAUAGUAUGAGGUAUAACCAGCGUUGUACCUGUCCGGCUCAAUAGUAUCUCUUUCCAUGAUGAUUUUACAGUGCCAUAUUUGCUGAGCUUAACACUUGUAAGGGCUAUCGUCAUCCUGUAAGCCAUCAUUGAAGUGACUUAUUUUGUUGACCCUUGGUAUAACCUUCUUCCUUCUUGCCUGUCUCAUAACUCAGAGAGGAACGUAAGGGUAGGUCCCUCUCAAACCGAU
rnacentral:lncRNA from 1 species